rnacentral:rRNA from 1 species
UACGUAGGGGGCAAGCGUUGUCCGGAAUCACUGGGCGUAAAGGGUGCGUAGGCGGGUCUUUAAGUCAGGGGUGAAAUCCUGGAGCUCAACUCCAGAACUGCCUUUGAUACUGAAGAUCUUGAGUUCGGGAGAGGUGAGUGGAACUGCGAGUGUAGAGGUGAAAUUCGUAGAUAUUCGCAAGAACACCAGUGGCGAAGGCGGCUCACUGGCCCGAUACUGACGCUGAGGCAC